rnacentral:lncRNA from 1 species
AAUAUUUUCUAUCAAGUUCCAACCAAGCAUCAGCAUUCUUUGUGCUCAUACUAUUUGAAUUGUUACCAUUACCGCUCUCUAAAAACUAAAAUAAAACUCAUCCAAUAUUUGCUUACAGCAACAGAAACACAGGCUUGGCUUUUGUUCUUACCUCAGUAAGUGAUACAGGUGCUUUUUAAAUAGUGGAACUCCCAAACAGAAAACUCUCAUAUUCAGAACUUUUUUUUUCUUGCUGGAGGGGAUCAUCUUGCGUCAAUUGCGAACUUCAGCCUUCCAUAAUCAAUAUAUCUACAGCUACAAGAUAGUUUCACACCCGGUGGGAACAGAAAAGGAAAAAAUUCUGGCACUUGCUAUGAAGAGUAACUUUCAGACCAACUGUUAGAAAUGAUAUUAUUUGACUUCUCCAGUAGAACUAGCCCGAUGCUGCCUUCAAGCAUAGCGCCUGCGCGUUGAUGUCUUGAUGUGAUUGUGUCCACAUGAGAGCCUAUAUUGGUCAUAAUAAUCGAGUGUUAUGAGGUAAAGUAAAACAAAACAAAAAACAUGAAUAAUGUCUCGAGUAUCAUAUGUAGGAUAUCCACGUGAUAAUCUUGCUGGAACACAAAAGUGGAACAUUUGUAGUAGAGCGGUACCAUCAGCUUAACAAGACCCCCAUCAAGAACUACCUAUAUUAUUGUAAAUCACAUCACAACUAUUAAUCAUUGUUCAAGUAAAAUCUGCCUUCGCUAAAUUGGCCUAAGUCUUGCAGGUUUCUUAACAUAAGAUUAAGAUCCAUCGGGUACAUACUUCACAAUGCCCGCUGAGCAGUGUGCAAAGCACCACAAACUUGUCUAUUGUUAAGAACAAGAUAUACAAGUGGCACCAAGCUGAACAUGGUACAUUUACCAAUGUUUUUCUGUGCAAUGUAAUUUGCUUAAGCAUGUUCAGAAUUCACAAAUAAUUGAGCAAAAUAAUGCAUCUCAUCACUCAUGAUACAAACUACCACGGAGAAUAGCAUUCCUUUCACAAAUCUAAUAAUGAAAUGGGUUAUCGAUAGUGCAAUAGUUACAAAGCAGACCUGUCAGAUUCCCAAUUUCCAACAUCUUAAAUGGAAAACCUAAAUCGAUACUCUAAUAUGUAUUCCAGUUCCAUGUGAUAUACAACUAAGGUUUUGCCGGUGGUAUUGAGGUAAUCAUGUAACUGUGAUACAAGUGUUGCAGAGAACCAAUUUGUCCCAGAAUAGAUCUCCCUAGUAUCUACAAUGUUGUCUAGCAACCUAUGCGCAAGUACAUACGCGUGGGGCAAGAUAGUGCGACUGCCACAACUAACCUCAGAGCCUCUAGAAGAGGAAAGAGCUUCAUCAUUUCACAUCUUGUUUGACGCCAUAAAUUUGAUUUUUCUCUCAGCAGGUUUGAGAAUUUGAAAUGAACACAUCAAAGUUUCAUCAACACUCAUCAUUGCUCCAGCAUUAUCAAAUUCACCACAAUAGUUGGGAGCCGAAAAUAUGGUGACCAGCUGUCUGUCAGCAAAGAAUUCAUACCCAUCCUCAACAACCUAUAUCAGAUGAAAUACGUAAACACCUUAAUUUCCAAGAAAGUAAUAAACAAGAUGAUGUAUUAGAGAUUUAGAUUUUAGAGUAGUACCUGGUGGGCACGGCAAAUAAGAUCAAGAUCAUGCUUUAGAAGGAACUCCGUAACUUUGUCAUGGCCAAAUGUGUAUGAAACGCCCCUAUCAUUCAUGCCCCACCCUUGGACAUCUUUUCCUGGAUCAGACCAAAGAAGAUCGCAUAGUAGACCUGUAUCUGGCACAUCGGUAGGACGGGGC